rnacentral:rRNA from 1 species
AAUAGAUACCCUGGUAGUCCACGCCGUAAACGAUGAGUGCUAAGUGUUAGAGGGUUUCCGCCCUUUAGUGCUGCAGCUAACGCAUUAAGCACUCCGCCUGGGGAGUACGGUCGCAAGACUGAAACUCAAAGGAAUUGACGGGGGGCCCGCACAAGCGGUGGAGCAUGUGGUUUAAUUCGAAGCAACGCGAAGAACCUUACCAGGUCUUGACAUCCCACUGACCGGUAUAGAGAUAUACCUUUCCCUUCGGGGACAGUGGUGACAGGUGGUGCAUGGUUGUCGUCAGCUCGUGUCGUGAAAUGUUGGGUUAAGUCCCGCAACGAGCGCAACCCUUGAUCUUAGUUGCCAGCAUUUUAGUUGGGCACUCUAAGGUGACUGCCGGUGACAAACCGGAGGAAGGUGGGGAUGACGUCAAAUCAUCAUGCCCCUUAUGACCUGGGCUACACACGUGCUACAAUGGAUGGUACAAAGGGCUGCAAGACUGCGAAGUCAAGCCAAUCCCAUAAAACCAUUCUCAGUUCGGAUUGCAGG